ensembl:processed_transcript
CAUAACAUCCAAACCAAACAGUAGUUAUUUCCCAGGUCUUCCUAGAUUGCCACACCCACCAAAUCCUAAAUUGAAAAGGAUUAGCUUUUCUGGUUUCUACUGAGAUCUAAAAUAAACUUUAAAUUGGCGCACUCGUACUUAGGUACCUGUGAGAAAAGCCACUGCGGACCCUCAGCCUUUGUUUCCAUCUUUGGACCAGGUUUGGAAGUUUGGCCUGAAUAGCAAAGUAAAAAAGAAAAAGAAAAAGAAAAAGAAAAAAGAAAAAAGAAAAAAGGAACUCCGGCAAAAGGCCACAUCAGUCUAUGAAGACUAUGAAGACUAAGUGCUAUCUCUCCCCAGUAGUUUCUCCUGAUUUGAAUCCCAUUCCCUUUCAUCUUUUAUGGACAUAGUCUGCUGUCAUUAUGCACCUAUACCUGGACACACGUUUUUCUUUCAGAGAUAAGUAAUAAAAGGACCAGAUUGGCUAA